rnacentral:rRNA from 1 species
UCGAGAAUCUUUCGCAAUGCCCGAAAGGGUGACGAAGCGACGCCGCGUGCGGGAAGAAGGCCUUCGGGUUGUAAACCGCUGUCGGGAGUUAAGAAAUGCAAGGAUAUUAAUAGUGUCUUUGCUUGACUAAGGCUCCGGAGGAAGCCACGGCUAACUCUGUGCCAGCAGCCACGGUAAUACAGAGACGGCAAGCGUUGUUCGGAAUUAUUGGGCAUAAAGAGCACGUAGACAGCUAUGUAAGUCAAUUGUGAAAGCCUUCCGCUCAACGGAAGAACAGCAUCCAAUACUGCAUGGCUUGAGUGCAAAAAAGAGAGUGGAACUUCUGGUGAGCGGUGAAAUGCGUAGAUAUCAGAAAAACGCCGGACGGCGAAAGCGGCUCUCUGGCCCAUAACUGACGCUGAG